rnacentral:rRNA from 1 species
GACGAACGCUGGCGGCGUGCUUAACACAUGCGAGUCGAACGGAAAGGCCCUGCUUUUGUGGGGUGCUCGAGUGGCGAACGGGUGAGUAACACGUGAGUAACCUGCCCUUGACUUUGGGAUAACUUCAGGAAACUGGGGCUAAUACCGGAUAGGAGCUCCUGCUGCAUGGUGGGGGUUGGAAAGUUUCGGCGGUUGGGGAUGGACUCGCGGCUUAUCAGCUUGUUGGUGGGGUAGUGGCUUACCAAGGCUUUGACGGGUAGCCGGCCUGAGAGGGUGACCGGCCACAUUGGGACUGAGAUACGGCCCAGACUCCUACGGGAGGCAGCAGUGGGGAAUAUUGCACAAUGGGCGGAAGCCUGAUGCAGCAACGCCGCGUGCAGGAUGACGGUCUUCGGGUUGUAAACCGCUUUCGCCUGUGACGAAGCGUGAGUGACGGUAAUGGGUAAAGAAGCACCGGCUAACUACGUG